rnacentral:rRNA from 1 species
UACGGAGGGAGCUAGCGUUGUUCGGAAUUACUGGGCGUAAAGCGCACGUAGGCGGCCUUGUAAGUUAGAGGUGAAAGCCUGGGGCUCAACUCCAGAACUGCCUUUAAAACUGCAUCGCUUGAAUCCAGGAGAGGUGAGUGGAAUUCCGAGUGUAGAGGUGAAAUUCGUAGAUAUUCGGAAGAACACCAGUGGCGAAGGCGGCUCACUGGACUGGUAUUGACGCUGAGGUGCGAAAGCGUGGGGAGCAAACAGG